rnacentral:tRNA from 1 species
GAGGGUAUAGCUCAGUGGUGGAGCACAUGCUUGGCAUGCAUGAGGUCCUGGGUUCAAUCCCCAGUACCUCCU